AUUGAACGCUGGCGGCAGGCCUAACACAUGCAAGUCGAGCGGAGCGGCGGACGGGUGAGUAAUGCCUAGGAAUCUGCCUGGUAGUGGGGGAUAACGUCCGGAAACGGGCGCUAAUACCGCAUACUAUCAGAUGAGCCUAGGUCGGAUUAGCUAGUUGGUGGGGUAAAGGCCUACCAAGGCGACGAUCCGUAACUGGUCUGAGAGGACGAUCAGCCACACUGGGACUGAGACACGGCCCAGACUCCUACGGGAGGCAGCAGUGGGGAAUAUUGGACAAUGGGCGAAAGCCUGAUCCAGCCAUCCCGCGUGUGUGAAGAAGGUCUUCGGAUUGUAAAGCACUUUUGGUAGGGAGGCGGUACCUACAGAAUAAGCACCGGCUAACUUCGUGCCAGCAGCCGCGGUAAUAC
rnacentral:rRNA from 1 species